AACGAACGCUGGCGGCAUGCCUAACACAUGCAGGUCGAACGAGACCUUCGGGUCUAGUGGCGCACGGGUGCGUAACGCGUGGGAACCUGCCCUUAGGUUCGGAAUAACUCCCCGAAAGGGGUGCUAAUACCGGAUAAUGUCUUCGGACCAAAGAUUUAUCGCCUUUGGAUGGGCCCGCGUUGGAUUAGCUAGUUGGUAGGGUAAAAGCCUACCAAGGCGACGAUCCAUAGCUGGUCUGAGAGGAUGAUCAGCCACACUGGGACUGAGACACGGCCCAGACUCCUACGGAAGGCAGCAGUGGGGAAUAUUGGACAAUGGGCGAAAGCCUGAUCCAGCAAUGCCGCGUGAGUGAUGAAGGCCUUAGGGUUGUAAAGCUCUUUUACCCGGGAUGAUAAUGACAGUACCGGGAGAAUAAGCUCCGGCUAACUCCGUG
rnacentral:rRNA from 1 species